UACGAAGGGGGCUAGCGUUGCUCGGAAUCACUGGGCGUAAAGGGUGCGUAGGCGGGUUUUUAAGUCAGAGGUGAAAUCCUGGAGCUCAACUCCAGAACUGCCUUUGAUACUGAAAGUCUUGAGUAUGGGAGAGGUGAGUGGAACUGCGAGUGUAGAGGUGAAAUUCGUAGAUAUUCGCAAGAACACCAGUGGCGAAGGCGGCUCACUGGCCCAUUACUGACGCUGAGGCUCGAAAGCGUGGGGAGCAAACAGG
rnacentral:rRNA from 1 species